AUUGAACGCUGGCGGCAUGCCUUACACAUGCAAGUCGAACGGCAGCAUAGAGAGCUUGCUCUCUGAUGGCGAGUGGCGAACGGGUGAGUAAAGCAUCGGAACGUACCGUGUAGUGGGGGAUAACGUAGCGAAAGUUACGCUAAUACCGCAUACGCACUGAGGUGGAAAGCAGGGGAUCGUAAGACCUUGCGCUAUACGAGCGGCCGAUGUCAGAUUAGCUAGUUGGUAGGGUAAAGGCCUACCAAGGCGACGAUCUGUAGCGGGUCUGAGAGGAUGAUCCGCCACACUGGGACUGAGACACGGCCCAGACUCCUACGGGAGGCAGCAGUGGGGAAUUUUGGACAAUGGGGGCAACCCUGAUCCAGCCAUGCCGCGUGGGUGAAGAAGGCCUUCGGGUUGUAAAGCUCUUUCGGCCGGGAAGAAAUCGCACAGGCUAAUACCCUAUGUGGAUGACGGUACCGGCAUAAGAAGCACCGGCUAACUACGUGCCAGCAGCCGCGGUAA
rnacentral:rRNA from 1 species